rnacentral:lncRNA from 1 species
UCAUUGAUUCAUCAAGUUCACAUCUAGGGUUUGAGACCCUCAUGAACAAAGAGCACAACCAAGAGUUAAUUCAAGAAUGGUUAUGAACAUCAUAUAUGAGUCCCAGUGUUCUCUACAUUUUAUAUUGAUCAAGUUUUCUUCAAGAGAUUGAGGGUGAUUUGCCUUGGAAACCCUAGUUUGACUGGGUAUCUUGAGUAACUUCUCUAACAAGCUAUCUCACCAAUUGAUC